rnacentral:rRNA from 1 species
CCUACGGGUGGCAGCAGUCGAGAAUCAUUCACAAUGGGGGAAACCCUGAUGGUGCGACGCCGCGUGGGGGAAUGAAGGUCUUCGGAUUGUAAACCCCUGUCAUGUGGGAGCAAAUUAAAAAGAUAGUACCACAAGAGGAAGAGACGGCUAACUCUGUGCCAGCAGCCGCGGUAAUACAGAGGUCUCAAGCGUUGUUCGGAAUCACUGGGCGUAAGGCGUGCGUAGGCGGUUUCGUAAGUCGUGUGUGAAAGGCGCGGGCUCAACCCGCGGACGGCACAUGAUACUGCGAGACUAGAGUAAUGGAGGGGGAAGCGGAAUUCGCGGUGUAGCAGUGAAAUGCGUAGAUAUCGAGAGGAACACUCGUGGCGAAGGCGGGUUCCUGGACAUUAACUGACGCUGAGGCACGAAGGCCAGGGGAGCGAAAGGGAUUAGAUACUCCAGUAGUC